AUGGCCUGGACUCCUCUGCUCCUCGCGCUCCUCUCUCACUGCACAGGGUCCCUCUCCCAGCAGCCUGUGCUGACUCAGCCGCCCUCCCUCUCUGCAUCUCCGGGAGCCACAGCCAGAUUCACCUGCACCCUGAGCAGCGGCCUCAAUGUUGGUGGAUACAGGAUAAACUGGCACCAGCAGAAGCCUGGGAGCCCUCUCCGGUACCUCCUGAACUACCACACUGACUCAGAUAAGGGCCAAGGCUCCGGGGUCCCCAGCCGCUUCUCUGGAUCCAAAGACGCCUCGGCCAAUGCGGGGCUCCUGCUCAUCUCGGGGCUGCAGCCUGAGGACGAGGCUGACUAUUACUGUCUGAUCUGGUACAAUAAUGGUCCCACAACCAAUGCAGGGCUCCUGCUCAUCUCAGGGCUGCAGCCUGAGGAUGAGGCCGACUAUUACUGUGACACAGGAGGAAGCCCAGGCACAGGGCUGGCCGUCACCUCUGCUGGGACCCUGACCUUCAGUGCCAUUGGGGAGAGGGGCUGUCGGAGGGAAAUGGGUGGCCUGGGCCCAGGGACCCUCUUUGGGUCUCGACAGGGGUGUGGGUGGCUGUGGGCCAUGGGGAGCAGGACCUUCCCAACAGGUGCCUGUCACUCCCGCUGGGAAGCUGUUGAUGAGCCCAGAUCCCAGGUCACCUUCUCCUGA